UUGCAGAUGGACAAUCUGAGGCUGAGAGGGGGCUAGUGAUUUCUCGGACACUUGGGCAGUAGAGAACACACGGCCCUGUCCUCAAGGAUCCGAUGGCCUUGGAGAGGGGGCUACACGGCCUGUGGACACAAACUCUUCCCAAAGUGCUGACAUGGAGCCAGGUAGACUGAAAUUACCAUGUGUCCAAAUUAAAAUUGCCUACUUCAAGGAUUAUUUGAAGGACUAUUCUUAGACCCUUUUAAGAAGAUUUUUUUAAAAGUGAGUCAAUUUUUUUUCCACUUCAGAGUAUUCAUGACUUAAGUUAAUGUCACAGGUGCCCCCUCCUACCCUGCCUCUUAAAUAUGCACUAAUAGGUAACUUCAUCUCCAUUUAUUUUAUAGUAAAGGUUUCCCCCCCCCUAAGAACAAUGAGCAGGGAAUAUGUGUUUAUUGCUAUACUGAUUCGCAUAUAUUUCAUAGCCUUAUAGAAUUUCAGAGAUGAAAGGGUGUUAAAAGUGUGGAGUCUUUCUCACUGUCUGUCAGAGAUUCCCAUGAACCUCUGGGAUCCUGGAAAGAUCCCAGGAACUACUGGGGAAGCUGGUGUCUGUUCAUAUCCAGGCCUUUUAGAGAAUUCUCUUACCUGUCAAAAUUGGAAAUCUGUGCCUCCUCCUCCUUCCAUCUUGCCAAACCUUCCUGGCUAGACAAUCCUAACCAUGGCUGUGCACCAAGAGCACAUACCCUUCCCCAAGAUCAUUUAUUUAAAUCCCCUGUUCCUCUAAUAAUUCCACAUAGUUUCAUUUCCAGGACAACUCCUGCUCAGUUCUUCGUACCAACUCAGCAAAUGUCACCUUAAAAAUGGAGCCAGCCUCUAUAGAACACAGACUUUAGGGCACUGUGGGCACUGCUGGUGGGAGGGCCAGUGCAGAGGCAAG